AGAUGGAUUAGUGGCGCACGGGUGAGUAAUGCAUAGGUUAUGUGCCCUUUAGUCUGGGAUAGCCACUGGAAACGGUGAUUAAUACUAGAUACUCCCUACGGGGGAAAGAAUUUCGCUAAAGGAUCAGCCUAUGUCCUAUCAGCUUGUUGGUGAGGUAAUGGCUCACCAAGGCUAUGACGGGUAUCCGACCUGAGAGGGUGAACGGACACACUGGAACUGAGACACCGGUCCAGACCUCCUACGGGAGGCAGCCAGUAGGGAAUAUUGCUCAAUGGGGGAAACCAUGAACCCAAACCGCCCGCCGUGGAGU
rnacentral:rRNA from 1 species